UCCCCCAGAGAUGCUGAUGGAAAGAUGUGAGGCUCAGGAAUCUGGAUUGGUUUUUAGGUGAUGCUUCUGAUCCAGGUUUCCAGGAGUUUCCUUGUUGACGUAAAGUUUACGUUGGGAGCACAGACUCUUCAGAGAUGGCAUAUAUUUGAAUGCAACUAGUAAACUAAGAUUUCUCAUACAAUGCCAGAUUCAUCUAUGUUAUAGUGUAUAUCAGUACCUCAUUCCCUGUUAU